ensembl:lncRNA
CGGGAUCCUGUCAGCGAGGGGCCGUGCCCGCGCUGGAGCCUGCCGGCGGCUGGUGACAUUCUUUUCGAAAUGCUGCGCUUAAGUUUGGCUUCUUAAUGUCAUAAUAGCAACAGCUCGACAUCUCGCGCUGCUCCUGAAGCGCAGGGUUGGUCUGUGCGCUGGUCCUGCUGUCACCUCCAUGGAGAAGCCCAAAGGCAGAAUGAGAGACAAGCGACAGGCCUCAACCAGUCUGGGAAAAUAAUAUCCCAUUAAAAUGGGAAAAAAAGGUGCCAUGUGCAGGCCUGCAGCUGGGUGUCCAUAAGCAGCACCGUACCUCAUCCAAAGGCCCCCAAAAAACCUUCAGAGAAUGAUGACUACACCGGUUCUGUUAAUGCGGUUGCCUGGUCGGACUCGGCUUUUGUUCCUGAGGUGGAACCCAGAGGUAAAUCACUGCAAGGACAGAGCCUUUGGGGUUCCCCCUCCCGUCCUCUUUCCCUCCCCUCUCCAUCCCCUUUCCAUUCUCUUCCCCUCCCCAUCUCCAGACAGUUCCACGCAUGGACUGUUGUAUAUCAGCACGGUGCCACUGCAGGCACCCAGCACCUAUGGUUGAGAUGCUGCUGUGUGGAAGGGAGAGAAGGGUGCUGUGGAGUGACCCGUGUUGUUCCCAUCUGGAGAG